rnacentral:rRNA from 1 species
UUAGUCUUUUAAUUGAGGGCUGGAAUGAAAGAGUAAACCAAGAAAAAAAUCUUUUUUAUUUAAAAAAUGAAGUUUACUUUUUAGUAAAAAGGCUAAAAUUUUUCUUAAAGACGAGAAGACCCUAUAAAACUUUAUAUUACUUUUUAUUUGACUGAGAAAGUAAUAUUUUGCUGGGGUGGCAGGGAAAAUUGACUUUUUCUAAGUAAGAAGAAAUAAGUUUUUUAAUAUCCAAAAGUUUUGAAAAAGGAAUAAGUUACUUUAGGGAUAACAGCUUAAUUUGCUUUGAAAGUUCUAAUUGACAAGUAAGUUUAGGACCUCGAUGUUGAAUUAAAAUACCUUUAUUUGUGAAAAAGC